UCGUCUUUUGCCAUUGCUCGCUCAGCCAUCACCAGGACUGACCUUGAGCCGGCUGCUCGCGCUUCGGCGUGAGACUACAAGACAAGAGAAACUCGACAACGCUUUUUGAGUACGAAACCUUCUUAGUGACUUUCACUUAAUGGAGGCUUUCGUAAUUUAUCUGUUGUUACAUUU
rnacentral:snoRNA from 1 species